GUCCUGCUUCACAAUGCAGGAAUCCAGCACUAACCACCUGGGAAGGAUUUCUUUGUAAAUCUUCAAAAUGCCACCUCUGUUGGGAAGCCAGCUGGAUGAGUCUGCACCUCCCCUCCAGAAAUACCUGACAAGAUAUGCUGCCAGAGAGGCUCUGAGAUCCACAAGAAGUGCAUCAGCCAGGAGGCAUCUGGAUCAAAAGCUGGUGAGGUUUGUGCUCCAGCUGUAACACCACAAGUGACCACGGGUCUUCUUUGAUUCCUCUGGCCAAUAUCCUCCCAGAACACCCAAGGAACCUGUGGCUCUACUCUUCCCUUUGAGCAGUUAGUGCCUGAGAACACAAGGCACACUCAGCAAAACGGGAAAGGGAAAGAAGCGCCCGCCAGGAGCAGAUGGAGGAAGAGCAGCAGACCUCAAGUUCUACCGCAUGGUGGCAGCAAGUGCCCGGUCAUCUGAAGGUUCUACUUCACCCCGGGAGACCACAGCAUCUGUAGAAAUUGUCAGCCAGUGAGGCGCGUCUAGAUUUCCAACCUCCUCUAUCUGUCUAAAGAACGUAUAGGAAGUGAAGACCAGCUGUCAAAUCAUUGAAAAGGACUUUAGGACUUUAAACUGUCCUUGCUUAGCCUCAAUUGUCCUAUCUUUAUAAUGGACAUAUUAAUAUUCCUUCAAAAUAUAUGACAUCAUUUGAAAACUGGCUGCAAAAUAAUUUAAAAGGAAAGGUUCCAAAUGCUUCAGAAACAAACUACGGGGAAGACUUUUUGAGGUACUGGCCACGUCGCACACAGGCCCAGGGAUGUCUGGAGGCACACAGGAGAUGAAAGCAGUUUGCUGAGAAAGGGUUAGCAUCUGCGCCUGGAAGAGACGCCUCCCUGCUCCUCUGCAUCCAUGGAAAUAUUAACUGGAGCAGAAUGCAGUCGGUCAGAUGGAAGGCAGAAGACAGCAAGUGAGAGAAAAAGAGAAGGUUCAGGGGCAACUGGGAGUCAGCAGAGAUCUGCUUUUGAGACCCCAGGAGUGAUCCAGGCGUCCUGAGGAGGAUGAGCUGGGACUAGGAUGGACACUCUGCUUGGGAAAUCAGAGGAUAAAGGAGAGCCAAACCAAGAACCAGCUGAGCCUAAUAGCUAGGAUUUGGCUCCGAAGAAGGACAUAAAUGGCAAGAAAUGGCCUAAAAAUAAUGGAGCAUUUCAGAAGAAGAAAGAGAAGUUUCCAGACACUUGACCUCGCCAUGACCAGGGGCCAGUGCCAAGUUCUCAUUGAGGCCCUGGCAGGAUGGGGCAGUGGCCUGAUGGAGCUGCGCUCUCCUUCCUUCUGCUCUCAGGGUCAGCUGCUCCUUCCAGCCAUCCACCCUAGUGCCUCUCCACGCACAGAAGCAUAGCGACCGACAGGGGCUAAGUGGCUGAUUGAACAUAGUUUGCUCAAGAGCAGCAUCACUUUAGUCCCUGGGACAGCUAAGGUCCCUGCCUGAGGCCCCGUGACUCCCAAAGGCCUUGCCCUGGGCUCCCAAGCCAUGCCUCUUCCCAUGAGAUGAGUCCGAGGGGCCAUACCGACCAUGUCCCAGGGCACAUGCUGAAGCCUGGGGGGUGGCCCACAGGAGGCUGCUGUGGCAGGGAGCGGGGGGGAGCUGUAAUGGAACCAGGAUGCCCAGACACCAGUGCGCCAAGGCCUUGGGGGCUCAGGUCAAAGCUGGGAGGCAGGGCAGACCUCAGACUCACCUAUAAACUGAGUGAAGUGCCGGCUUCACAAAGGAAUUACACCCUAUUGGUGUUGGGAAAGACUCUGGAAAGAGCAAAGCAGGCCAGGAUUCUGGCAGAGUCCCAGGGCCUGCCCCUGGGUCAAGCCAGAGGUGCCCCUCCAGGUGAGUACAGGGCUUGCAGAGCCCCUUGGCCUCUGAGGAGACCCCUCCCCUGCUAGUAGAAUUGUCCCGGCGUCACUCAAGAGCCCUUCUCAGAGAGGCCAGCCACACUCUCCUCCAGAGUUAUUUCAAGGCAAGAUCCCAGUUACUCCUGAGAACACUCAUAAGUGGACUGCCGGCCAGGAAGGCGCCAGGCAGCCCAGGCUCCAACAACCCCACGACCUUCUCCUGACCUCUGCAUAGGGACAGUCCGGACAGAAGCCCCAGACUGAGGCCACUGGGCAAUAUGGUAUGGAAACACACCCGAGGCACCAAGGACCUAUUUUCUGUGGGCAUCACUAGAACUUAAGCUGGGGCACUGAACUACUGUCGAUCAAAUAUAAGUGUUGGAUUUGGGUUCAAAAAAUCAACUGAACAAAUAUCAAUUGGGAGAGAUCCCAACUAACCAGAUUAUUGAGACCUCAGAGUGUCAGUAUGCCACGAACUUAAAUGAGCCAAUAGACAGCUAAAACAAACACAAAAACAGAUAACUACUGCAAUCUUAGAUUAUAUUAACGCAAGUAUAGGAUUCAAAGUUAAAAAAAAAAAAAGGCAGGAAUGGGUCACACCAUAAUUGGUGUAUUGUGUUCUGUUUUAGGUAGCACAUUUUUAAGACCAUAAUUACAAAUUAGAAUAUUCUUAAAUCAGUGGAAUGCUAUGGUGAGGAGCUUGGAAAGGAGCCUUUCGAAGAAUUUUAAGGAAAUGGCUGUUCAGCCAAAAGGAGAAUGCCGGAAUGCAGAUUUGAGAGCAACCUUCCAAUAUUUGAGGGAUUGUAUAUGAGAAUCUGGGGGUUACAUGGACAUGCUGAGAAACACACAUACCGAUAGAAAUUGAUGCAGCCUUUUCCAUUUUCCUCUAUAUCAAGGCCUUUAAAAUUCCUCACACUGAAUUUGGUCCAGGACUUGUAUUGCUGGGAAUUUAUCUCAAAGAAGUAAUAUUCCUACAGUGUUUUUUUUUUUUUUACUGAUGUGUUAUUUACAAUAUGGAAAAGUGAGAGACAACCUAAGUGCCUAAAAGUUAGGAUACGAUUCCCCACGUUGGGAUAUAGCCAUGUUAUGGAAUAUAUGGCAACCAUAAAAAAUAUGUCUUCAAAGAGUAUUUAGUAAUAUGAGAAAUGUUUGCAAAAUCAGUAAUAAGAAUGAUCUGGGUUCAAUACCUUAUCAUCAGUAGGUUUCUAAUUUUAUAAAACAUACAUGGCCACACGUGCACAAUAGGAAGAAAUGCAACCAAAAUGCUAACAGGGCUCAUCACUGCAUGUUAAAUUUAUCAGUGAUUUAUUUUACAUUCAUUUUGCAUGUUUUCCAAAUUUCCUGCAAUGUGUAGGUUAUCCUCUUUAUAAUCAGGAAACACACAUUAAGAAUAUUUGAAGAACGGUUGUGUGCGGGAUAGCUGAUAGACUCUGGGAUGAACCUGCAGGUGAAUCUGCUCAGUGACAGCUUCCCAGUGAGGCGGAGGCCCCCUGCCCCUGAGUGUCCAGCCUGCAUUGGGUGGGACCACUACAUGUGAGAACCAAUAGAAAGAAGGGGAAGUAAUAUUCACCAAAGUCUAGUUCAGUCUGUAUGCUCCAACUCUGAGACUUGAAGACAAGAUAACUCCUAUAAUGACCUAAGGCUGGUAAGAGUCAGAGCUGGGAUCUGAAUAGAGGACUUCCCACCUCUAACUCUCGAAUGGCCUAAGGUUAAUAAGAGUUGGAGCUGGGAUCUGAAUUCAGGACUCUCUGUGUCUUCACCCCGUGUUUGAAAGAGCCUUCUCCCUUUGCAGGAACCAGGCCCACUUUAGGCACCUAUUCAACUAUCCAGCCUGCCUCACUUCUUGGGAUCAAGAAACAAGUAGGAAACCUUGCAAUCUGUUACAAAGACUUGUCUCCUGACAAACUAAGUUUUGUCUCCUGACAGGUUUAUGAAGAAUUAGUGUGGAGACCUCUCCAGGAGAGGAGGUGCUCAGGGAGUGGCUAGAACACAGCUGUGUUUCUGAGAUUCCAGUGUCCCCCCAUCGUCAAACAUUCUAGGGGAACGCUUAUUAUGUGGACCAAAAAUCCUGCUGAUAGAUUCCUUUUCUAAAUCUGUAGAACAGAGAUCCUUCCUAUCCCUGAAGCAUGAUGCUAACCUCAGAGGUGAAUCAGCCAUCUAACUAUAAAAUAUCCUCUCACUUCUGCCAUUUUGCUCAGCUGCAGACAUUUUGUUAAGGUGUUAAAGAGUGUCUAACCCAGCUCCCUUUCCCAGAGGGCAAUUCUGAGCCUGCCAAGAGGCUGAGAGGCCCAUGAUGAACUGCGGUACCAUCAAGAGGUCCAGACAUCAAGCCUGGAACAGUCAUAUGCCCAUCUUCCAGCAAUAAGACCUCGGACUUACAGGUUACUUGAGCAAGGGCUCAUGGAACCCUCAGUCAGAAUUCUCCCCACUAGAAGCAGUUCCCAGUCAGCUCGUGGGGCCUUGAAGCUGGGCACAGCCAGGCCAUUGGCAUCCACAAGGCUGAUGAGGAUGGCCUUGAAGUCUCAAGACCUUGAAGUCUUGAGGGCCAUGAUGGUCCCAGGGCAUCUGGGACCAAGAAGAUAGAAAACAGCUCAAGAGCUGGAAGGAGUGGAGAAAUCUGAAGAUAAAGCAUAAUAAUCCAUAUAUUAGAUCUUGUUCUGUGACCAAUUAAUUGUCUUGGAAGCUCUAGUCAAAGAAGUUCAUUAACCUCGCUUAAUAUGCGCCAGACACCAAGACAUUUCAAGCCAAAUUCCACAUUUGAACCACCCAAUAUUUUAUCCUCCUAUGUCCCUUCUUCUAGCAAAUGCUCUGUUAAGACUUCCUGAACCUUAGUUGUUCAAUCCGCAAAGUGGCAGAAACUAUGCUAGCUCUGUUUCCCUAAGAGUCAACAGACUCCAAGCGAGAGCCCAGAAACAGACACGUUUUGCAAAAUACAAAAAUGUGAGGCCAACUGUCAGAGCUGGAGACCGUGGCCCUCCUCCUCCCCCUCACUACCAACAUCAUUCACUUCCUCACUGGCUCUCAGGGCAGGGGCUCCAUCUCGCACAAAUAAGGAUGUGGUGACACUAAACGACUGCAAUGGUUGGCACCUGUAAGUGGCAAAUCCAUGCAACCCAGCAUGAAGAGCUCCAGAAAUGUCCCUCAGAUGCAACACAUGGUGAUUUUCAUAUGCCCCAAAGAGACUGAAACUGAAGUGUUAGUAUGGAACGGGUUGACAAGGAUAGCACGAAUUUUAAGCUAGAUGGGAGAGGGGAGGAGCUGCCUAGUAGGCUUGCCAAAGAGCUAUUUGGAGCAAGCAGCAAUGUGGUUGCAGAGCAGAGACCUUGGAGAUAAUCAGCUAUAUUCCUCAUUUCCCAGAGGAACCAUUUAACCUGACGGACUGUGUGGAUGUCAGCCUUAAAGAUAGUCUCUUGGAAUUCCGGCCUUUGUGUUGUCCCCCUCCCAGACUUACUAGUGCUGACCCAUGUAAUCCAGAGGAUGUUGAGGAAAUCACAAUUUGUAUCCGUUGAGCCUAGGCAUAAAGCAUAUUGCAAUGCUGCCUUGGAUCACUCACUGCAGAGAGCUGGCUGCCAUGGCCUAAGGACACUCAAGUGGUCCCAUGGAGAGACCCAUGUGGUGAAGAAUUGCAGCCUCCUGCCAACAGCCAGCAAGAAACUGAUGCCAAUAGCCAUGUGAAUGAACCAUCUUAAAAACAGACACUCCAUCCCUAGUAAAGUCUUCAGAUGAUGCAGCCCCAGCCAAUGUGUUGAGAGACUGUGAGUCUGAACCUCCCAGCAAUGUCACUCCAAGAUUCUUGAUUUGCAAAAA